rnacentral:rRNA from 1 species
CGGUGUUCAACUGGCGUGCCCGCGGGACGUCCUGCCGGUGAGCUCAGCCCGCGAGGGCGGCUCAACUUGAAAUCCCAUCGCGGUGCUCUUCAUUGAGUGUCGAGGUGGGCCGGCGCGAUAACUUUUGAACAAAUUAUAGUGCUUAAAGCAGGCGAAAAUUUUGCCUGAAUACUGUGUAUAUGGAAUAAUGGAAUAGGACCUCGGUUCUAUUUUGUUGGUUUUCGGAACCCCCGAGGUAAUGAUUUAUAGGAACGGAUGGGGGCAUUCUUAUUGCGACGUGAGAGGUGAAAUUCUUGUAUCGUCGCAAGACGGACUAAAGCGAAAGCAUUUGCCAAAAACGCUUUCAUUGAUCAAGAACGAAAGUUAGAGGUUCGAAGGCGAUCAGAUACCGCCCUAGUUCUAACCAUAAACUAUGCCAGCUAGCGAUCCGCCGACGUCCCUCUGAUGACUCGGCGGGCAGCUUCCGGGAAACCAAAGCUUUUGGGUUCCGGGGGAAGUAUGGUUGCAAAGCUGAAACUUAAAGGAAUUGACGGAAGGGCACCACCAGGAGUGGAGCCUGCGGCUUAAUUUGACUCAACACGGGAAACCUCCCCAGGCCCAGACACUGGAAGGAUUGACAGAUUGAGAGCUCUUUCUUGAUUCAGUGGGUGGUGGUGCAUGGCCGUUUUUAGUCGGUGGAGCGAUUUGUCAGGUUAAUUCCGAUAACGGACGAGACUCUGACCUGAUAACUAGACGCACUUGCGGCAUCUCAAAGGUCCGCCGGCGGCUGGCUUUGCGCCCGUCGUCGCGCGCGAUUUUUACUGCCGGCGUACAAUAAAUUCUUCUUAGAGGGACAAGUGG